CCUACGGGAUGCAGCAGUGGGGAAUAUUGGACAAUGGGGGCAACCCUGAUCCAGCCAUGCCGCGUGUGUGAAGAAGGCCCUCGGGUUGUAAAGCACUUUCAGUGAGGAAGAACGCCUGGUGGUUAAUACCCAUCAGGAAAGACAUCACUCACAGAAGAAGCACCGGCUAACUCCGUGCCAGCAGCCGCGGUAAUACGGAGGGUACGAGCGUUAAUCGGAAUUACUGGGCGUAAAGCGCGCGUAGGUGGCUUGAUAAGCCGGUUGUGAAAGCCCCGGGCUCAACCUGGGAACGGCAUCCGGAACUGUCAAGCUAGAGUGCAGGAGAGGAAGGUAGAAUUCCCGGUGUAGCGGUGAAAUGCGUAGAGAUCGGGAGGAAUACCAGUGGCGAAGGCGGCCUUCUGGACUGACACUGACACUGAGGUGCGAAAGCGUGGGUAGCAAACAGGAUUAGAUACCCCAGUAGUC
rnacentral:rRNA from 1 species